GACGAACGCUGGCGGCGUGCUUAACACAUGCAAGUCGAACGGAAAGGCCCUGCUUUUGUGGGGUGCUCGAUUGGCGAACGGGUGAGUAACACGUGAGUAACCUGCCCUUGACUUUGGGAUAACUUCACGAAACUGGGGCUAAUACCGGAUAGGAGCUCCUGCUGCAUGGUGGGGGUUGGAAAGUUUCGGCGGUUGUGGAUGGACUCGCGGCUUAUCAGCUUGUUGGUGGGGUAGUGGCUUACCAAGGCUUUGACGGGUAGCCGGCAUGAGAGGUUGAACGGGCACAUUGGGACUGAGAGAGAGCCCAGGAUGGUACGGGAGGCAGAAGGGGGGAACCUUGCACAACGGGCGGAAGCCUGAUGAAGAAACGCCGCGUGCGGGAUGCCGGCCUUCGGGUUGUAAACCGCUUUCGCCUGUGACGAAGCGUGAGUGACGGUAAUGGGUAAAGAAGCACCGGCUAACUACGUG
rnacentral:rRNA from 1 species